rnacentral:lncRNA from 1 species
AUAUAUCUGUGUACCACAUGCAUGCAGUGUCUGUGGAGGCCAGAAGUGGGUAUCGGAGCCCCUGGAACUGGAUUUAUAGACAGUUGUAAACCUUUGUGUGGGCGCAGGGAAUUAAACACCAUCUUCUGGAAGAGCAGCCAGUGCUUUUAGCGGCUAAGCCAUCUCUCUAGUCUCAGUCGGGACAUUUUAAAAUAUUCAUUGUCUACUUCUAACUUCACAAGGAGGCAGCAUAAGAGGCAACAAUGCUGUUUCACAGGUAACAAGACUGAGACUUGAAAGGCUGAAGAGUGGCAGGAGUCAUUUCUGCUGUCAAAGAACCUGCAGCUGAUGGAUCCUGCCUUGAGUGGCCAAGAGGAUGCAGCUCCCUCACCUGCUUCAUUAUAAACCAGCACAGGAAUCUCAGGAGGCUCCUGGAGGCCAGCACACGAGCAACAGAAGCUGAAUAGCCACUGGCGCAGAGCUAUAGAUGCCCAAGGACUCUUUUCUGCUAUGGCCACAGAAGUGGGCUCUGAAAACAGGAAACCGGGCUCCUGAGUGUUGACUUGGAGAUAGAGCAGAGGGGAGAUGAAGACACCGGAGGCCAACUAGAAACAGCCAUUGGGAAGCCUCAGAGGGAAAGGGAUGGUGGUGGGGAAGAUGGGCAGGGUGUGAAGUCCAGAGAAAGGAAAAGGCAGAGAAAAGGCAGCCCCUUGGUGGUGGGGUCUGUAGCAACCAAUCCUGGGUCAUAGCGAGGGAAGGCCAAAUCCAAGAUGUCUGAGGUGCUUCUGGGAAAAGAUGUAUGGUGAUAGUAUAUGUCUAUGUAAGAAUAGAAUCCUGUCUGUACAGGCAUGUGCACACACACACACACACACACACACACACACACACACACACACACAGCCCUGUAUCAGCAAUCAUUGCAUUCCAGUCACCCAAAUCCAGCCCACUUUGCAAAAUGCGUUCUCAUGACUUGCCUGCACAUUCUUCUCCACUGAACCCUGCUCAUUUCUAUAUGCUUCCUGCAGCUGAGACUCUUUCUUCCCCGCUCUCUUUUAAAGCAACUGUACAAACACCUGCAUUUUAUUAAUGCUGCCUGGAGCCGGGGCUGGGCUGGGCCCCCUCUGCUCUCACCCCCACACCAUGCUCAGUGAAGCAAAACGCAAGGGUUAACCCUGUGUGGCUGGGUUUCUGUCCCCGAGAAGUGAAUCCCCAAGAGUUCAGAAAAAAACGUCAAAACUAUGAAAGAGUGAGAGUCCACAGAAGUUAUUUAGGCUUUCUGUUAGCCCAGGAACCCCAUUUCCCUUGUCUUAGCUUUUGGCCUAUUUCUCUGAUCAUUGUGCCCCGUGUCUCUUGACAGAAGACAGGGACAUCAUCCUUUCUUGAAAUUCAGGCAUCCUCUUUAGAGACAGUUCUCCAGCCUGGCCCUUUAACGGUCUACUGCAUUGUUCUGUCUUUAGAGGCCAAAUGGGACUAAACAAUCCCAGAAAGAAAAAAAAAAAAAGAAAAAGAAAAGCUGCUUUCCUCUUUAAAAUAUUUUUAAGUAAGGAAAGCAUGAAGAAUAUAAAAAUGUUCCAUAAUCCUAUUACCCAGAUAUGCUGGUAGGGACUAACAUUUCUUUCAAUUCAGUACAGGCAUCUCUUUUUUAAAAGAAGCAAAGGGGACAGGACAGGUGACCCAGUGGGCAGCAAUCAUGAGGACUUCAGUUCAGAGCCACACACAGCAUCUGAGUGUGAUGGUAUAUGCUGGCAACCCUAGCAUUAAGGAGGGGAGACAGUCAGACCAGAGUGGGGUCCCUAGCCAACCAGUUUAGCAGAAACAGCAGGCUCCACGGUCAGUGAGAAAAACCCAUCCCAAGAAAUAAGGUAGAGAGAGACUGAGGGAGACAUUUCAACAUCAACCCGUGGCUUCCACAUGUACCCAUAUGGGCAAGUGUGUUUGCAUUCAUAUGUGCACCAUCCCCCAGCUCUUGUGCAUGUGUGUGUAUGCACACACAUGUACACACACCCCCACCCCCAUCAUUAAAGGUAGUUUAUGAAUUCUGUUCAGUGUGUCAUUCUCCCCAGCAUAGAUCCCCUCCCCUCUGUUUUUUGAGACAAGGUCUCUCUAUUAUGUAACUCUGACUGUCAUGAAACUCACUGUGUAGACCCAGCUGGCCUUGAACCCACAGAGAUCUGCCUAUGCCUCCUGAGUGCUAGGAUUAAAGGCACGUGCCACUAGGCCCAGCACAGUUGGGUCUCUUAAAGACAGUGACUGUUUACAGUUUCUUGUAUGUAAUCCCAGAGAAAUGACUUGCUUAUACUUUAAAAACAAGCCCAGAAUCCCUGCCACUUCAGCACGAGACGACUCAGUCAUCUUUUGGAUAGCUUUGGAUGAGUCUCUAGGGUAGUUGUGUCAUCGUUUAUUUAACCAAUGGGCAUAAGGGUAGCUUGUGGUUUGUUAUUUCUUCUUCUUUUUUAUUUUAAAGAUUUAGUUUUAGCCAGACAUGGUGAUACACACCUUUUAUUCCAGAGCUCAGGAGGCUGGGGCAGACGGAUCUCUGUGAGAUCAAGGACAGCCUUGCUUAUGUAACAAGUUCCAAACAAUCAACCAACUAACCAACCAACCAACUAACCAACCAACCAACCAACCAACCAACCAACCAACCAACCAAAACAAUUACCUUUUAAAUGGCUGUACUCUGGACCUCGAUAAGAGUGGUAUGUACUCUUAACUCCUAAGCCUUCUCUCUCGGCUCCACUCCGAUUUCAUCUCUCUGAUACUUGGUUGGACUUAUCUGCUCCUGUAGGCAGCCCAUUCGCUGCUCCACAUCUUCUGCAGUCCUUUUUAUCAAUACCACUGAACUUGGACUUUUUAGGCGUUUGUUCUACAUAUUAAUCAUUUUGAGAUGGUCCCAUGUAUUGCAGGCUGGGCCUCAAACUCACUGUGUAGCUGAGGAAAACAUUGGACUGUUUGUUGAUCCUCUUGUCUCUAACUCAGGACUAUAGUCAUUCACCAUCAUGCCCAGUUUAUGGAGUGCUGGGAAUUGAACUCUCGGCAAACAAUUGUUCACAAGGCAAACACUCUGUCAGCUGAGCUACAUCCCCAACCCCAACUGCUCCAGAUUGUAGAUCUUAAAAAAAAAAUGUUUUUCUUAAGACAGGAUCUCACUUGCUAUAUAGUCUAGCGCUGACCUUGAACUCACAGAUCUACCUGCCUUGGUCUCUGCAGUGCUUGGAUUAAAGGUGUGUGAACGGUAUCAUGUUCAGCCUCCACAUUUGAUCUCGAUGUGAGGAGACUGCCAACUUUUCUUCAUAGGGAGUACUUUUAAAUCUUGUUUUCUUGUGCAGUUUGACUUCUGGGUGUACCACCCCCCCCAGUACUGAAAGCAGAGGAGGAGCUCUGUAUAGUCCUGCUCUUGGCAGCAUUGUUCUGAGUAACUGAGAGGCAGAAACAACCUAAGUGUCUGUCAGCAGAAGGCUGGAUUACUGAAGCAUGAUACACACACACAGGAUGGUAUCCAGCCUUAAAGAGGAGAGAGCAUCACCUUGAGGGGAUACUAAAUGAAAAACAAAACAAAACAAAACAUCAGUCACAAAGGGACAGCAGCACUGGACUGUACUUACAUAAGACUCUCAGAGUGGUCAAAAUCAUCCAGACAAAGGACAAAAUGCUGGUUGCUGGGGCAGGGAAGCUCUGGGGGCACCGGGGAGCAGGGGACGGACUGCAGAGCAUUUUAUGCACACAGUUUCAGUUUGGGAAGACAAAGACAUUCUGGAGAUGGACCGGGGUGAUGGUGUGGAACACACCAUGGAUGUCAUUUAAUGCCACCAAACUGUGUACUUUAAAAUGCUCAAAAUGGCACAUUCUAUGUUGUAUGUAUUUUGCCCCCAAUAAAAUUGUUCUUUUUCUUCUU